UCCAGACUCCUACGGGAGGCAGCAGUGAGGAAUAUUGGUCAAUGGCCGCAGGGCUGAACCAGCCAAGUCGCGUGAGGGAUGACGGUCCUAUGGAUUGUAAACCUCUUUUGUCAGGGAGCAAAGGGCGCCACGUGUGGCGUUUUGCGAGUACCUGAAGAAAAAGCAUCGGCUAACUCCGUGCCAGCAGCCGCGGUAAUACGGAGGAUGCGAGCGUUAUCCGGAUUUAUUGGGUUUAAAGGGUGCGCAGGCGGAAUGUCAAGUCAGCGGUAAAAUUGGGGGGCUCAACCUCUUCGAGCCGUUGAAACUGGUUUUCUUGAGUGAGUGAGAAGUAUGCGGAAUGCGUGGUGUAGCGGUGAAAUGCAUAGAUAUCACGCAGAACCCCGAUUGCGAAGGCAGCAUACCGGUGCACAACUGACGCUCAGGCACGAAAGCGUGGGUAUCGAACAGGAUUAAAUACCCCGGUAC
rnacentral:rRNA from 1 species